rnacentral:misc_RNA from 1 species
AACGCACAUUGCGCCCUCUGGUAUUCCGGGGGGCAUGCCUGUUCGAGCGUCAUUACAACCCUCAAGCUCUGCUUGGUAUUGGGUGUUACCAUUUUGGUACACCUUAAAAUCAGUGGCGGUGCCACCUGGCUUCUAGCGUAGUAAUACUCCUCGCUAUGGAGAUGGGUGUACACUUGCCAUAACCCCCAGUUUUUUUCACGGUUGACCUCGGAUCAGGUAGGGAUACCCGCUGAACUUAA